GGAGGGAUCAUUACUGAGUUUACGCUCUAUAACCCUUUGUGAACAUACCUAUAACUGUUGCUUCGGCGGGCAGGGUCUCCGUGACCCUCCCGGCCUCCCGCCCCCGGGCGGGUCGGCGCCCGCCGGAGGAUAACCAAACUCUGAUUUAACGACGUUUCUUCUGAGUGGUACAAGCAAAUAAUCAAAACUUUUAACAACGGAUCUCUUGGUUCUGGCAUCGAUGAAGAACGCAGCGAAAUGCGAUAAGUAAUGUGAAUUGCAGAAUUCAGUGAAUCAUCGAAUCUUUGAACGCACAUUGCGCCCGCCAGCAUUCUGGCGGGCAUGCCUGUUCGAGCGUCAUUUCAACCCUCAAGCUCUGCUUGGUGUUGGGGCCCUACAGCUGAUGUAGGCCCUCAAAGGUAGUGGCGGACCCUCCCGGAGCCUCCUUUGCGUAGUAACUUUACGUCUCGCACUGGGAUCCGGAGGGACUCUUGCCGUAAAACCCCCCAAUUUUCCAAAGGUUGACCUCGGAUCAGGUAGGAAUACCCGCUGAACUUAAGCAUAUCAAUAAGCGGAGGAAAAGAAACCAACAGGGAUUGCCUCAGUAACGGCGAGUGAAGC
rnacentral:rRNA from 1 species